GUCUCCUGGGGGACAUCCGAUAAAAUUGGAACGAUAUAGAGAAGAUUAGCAUGCGCAAGGAUGACAUGCACAAAUCAAGAAAUGGUCCAAUUUUUUUUUUCCCAAAACUAAUAUCUUUUUUUUAAGGAACUUCCAGCUUCUAUGUAUAGCCGAGCUGAGCAAUGGUUAUCGUUCCUUCGGAACCAUACAUAGAAGAUUAGCAUGGCCCUUCCACAAAGAUAACACCCAUAAAUCGAUAAAUGGUCCAAAUUUGU
rnacentral:lncRNA from 1 species